GCCCCUGUAGCUCAAUGGAUUAGAGCACCACACUCCUAACGUGGAAAUAUAGGUUCGACUCCUAUCAGGGGCA
rnacentral:tRNA from 1 species